CAGUGGGGCCUGGUGGGCUGCCGUCUAUGGGGUCGCACAGAGUCGGACAUGACUGAAGCGACUUAGCAGCAGCAGCAGCAGCAGCAGCAAGCUAUGUUUAAGCAACAGAACUGAACAUGUAUGGUGAUUUUUCUUCCAGAAAAGUUUGUUCAGUAAUGAUUUUUAAUAUAAAAAUGUAGUAUUGUUUUGGACAUUCCUCAUAUUGGUCAGCCUUGACUUCACAGACAGUAAGUAUCAUUUACUCUGUGAACUUUAUUUUAGGAGACAGGGGAAAUGAAUAGGAAAGAGAGAAAAGAAAUAUCAUAAAUCUGAAAUUGGGGCUAACAUAGCUAGUUCAUUUUAUUUAUUCAUGUUUCUUUUUCGUGUCUCCCUGAGAAAGAAAAGAGAUAUGAUUACCUCUUCUUCACUCUGUAUACAAAUAUGCAAAUCGGGGCAGCCAACAAUCUUGUAAUUUCUCCUCUGGUGUGAGAACUAUGAGUGAACAUUAGUAACAAUUCAGUCAUUCGUUUAUUCAGCAAAUAUGAAUAUUUCAUAGCUGCACAGCCUGCCAAGCCAACUCUCAGACAAACCAAGGAAGACUGAAAAAAAACACUUUUAAACAUUUUAUUAUAAAUUCUGUUCUUUAACCAUAAUGUGUUUUAUCAGUUUUCUCAAAAUAAAUCUGUAAUGAGCUUUUUUUUAUAAACCCUUUAAUCAAAAAUAAUGACUAAUUUUUUUAGCUUACUUAAAAAUGUGUAUAUACAUAGAGAAAUGUGUACGGAGGGGAGAUGGACCCUGUGGCACCCCAGUGCUGCCUAUGAAAUCUGUCCCCUACCAGCUCUUCUUUUUCUUUUUCGGCUGCCCAGUGCAGCUCAUGAAUCUGCGUGCAGCCCAAUGCAGCAUGCACGAUCCACAGUUCCCCAACCCGGGGAGGGGGCGCAUGGUCCCUGCAGUGGAAGCGUGGUGUCUUCACCACUAGACUGUCAGAGAAGUCCCCCUGCCAGCUCUUAAAGCUUAAAAAAAUGUGUGGCUUUUGUGACAGUAUUAAUGUUCUUAGUAUUUAUGGAAGGAAGAACUAAGUAAAUAUAUGUUUACUUAGAUAACAAAAAUCGUAGAAUGGAAAGGCAUUUUUAAAAUAAUUCUUUACCACACUGGCACCCGCCCAACUAUAAUACCAAGAAAAAAAUUACACUGAGUGGUUUUCUAGCCCAAGAGUUCACCACAAAAAUUCCCAUGUGCCCCCGUGUUCCCGUAGAUGCUCUGAACACCCGCACUCUAACCUACUCUUGUUUCUUCCCCUCAGAAAGUAUAUUGGAAUGUAAGCAAAUGAGAAAUGCAUCAUAGAGAUAACUUGGAAUCUGCUCUGGUUUAUUCCUUUUUAAAUACAAGUUUUUUAAAGUUCACUCCUUCAUUUUUUUAGUGACACAUUAGCAAUGUUAUGUGCACAGCUGCUGAAGUUCUCUGUGCCAGGCGGGCAGGUUCCCCCAGUCAAACUCUCCAGCAGCGCUGACCGCUAGAAGGUUCUUUCCUGAAUGUGUCUCCUGCCUUUGUUCUACCUUGUUCAACAGAGUAUGUCUAAACCGUCUUCCACGUGGCAGAUCUUCAGCCUUUGGAAAAUAAUUCUCAUGUUCUCCUUGCACUUAGUAGGCAUCCCCAUUUCCUCAGAGAGCUUGGUUUUGAAUCCCUGCGCCAGCCGGUCACUGAUCUCGGGAGCCAUUCGUCGUCCUCCACCCAUCCGUUAGGUGCUGUGAGCACCUCGCUUCAGCCAGGUGUGCUUGGGAUGCAUCAGUCUUAGGCCCAGAGCCAAACGUUACAUUCAAGGUAUGGACGACUCAUUACCUUGUUCUGGGUGAUGACUGAGAGUGGGGAGAGGGUGAGUGACAACUGCCCAAGUGGGGGUUAGGGGACAGCUUUUCAGAAUCUCCAGUGGAUGGAUGUGGUUUCACAGCCCAUACCCCUCCCCUUUCCCUCACCCCGAGAAGAGAACUAGAAGCCUGCUCUGAAAGUCACUGUAGUUAGUGAUUCAGGAAAAUGUUCACAUGAUUUCUCAUCCGUAUUUAGGAUGAGAAAAAAGUGAGAAUCACACUGCUCUAGUGCCUACCUACUUCCAUUAAUGCAACUUAAAAUCAUGUUAGCUUGUUUUAGAAGUUGAAUGACACUGUUAGAAAGUCACCGAGCGUACUGUUGACUGAACUAAGUCUCUUCCCAGGGUUUUGUUGCUUAGCCAGAUCUUUGCCCCAGAAGCCAGACUGGUCCUCUGUCCCUUUUAAAUUUCAUUAUAUUACUACAGCGUGCUGAGAUCAUUUUACCUCCUCAUUCUGCCAUCCAGUUUGUUACCUAUAAGCAUAGGAACUGCAUCUGUUUAAUUUUGUUUUACUGCUAUAUUUCUUGCAUCCAUGACAAUUUUUUUUUUUUACUUACAGUGAAGUCCAUCUAUAGCUUUGAUGAACAUGCCCACCCAUAUUUUCAUGAAAAUCACUGAACAAAUAAGAACUAGACAGACCUGAGUAGUCAGUCUCUUAGAGCCUACUGACCACUGCCUCCUGUGACAGAUGGCAAGCAGGAGCCAUGAGGCACGGGCAGUCUGUGUUCAGUCUAGCCCUACAGUAUCGCAAAACCACCUAGACAGACCUAGGCUUCUGCCCACCAAGUUCACUUAUGCCACAACUGUCGCACUUGCCAGGCCUCAUCUAGUAAUCCUGUCUGAAAAGAUAAGUUAAAUUUCUUCUUAGUAAACCCAUGCAGCAUCCUAGUAAUCACUGUGUGUUCCUUUUACGUUUAUUUAAAAUGCUUGAGUUUUGUAGUAUGGCAUCAUGGAAGUUCUCAGUCCCUAUUUUUAUCCCUUUUUCAAAGAAUAAAAAAGCCAUCAGAGUAUAAUCUGAUGUAUAAGGACAUCUGUUCGCACUUAAAUCUGUGAAGAUUAAAAAUAUGAGACUAGGAUUUCCUGUCAUGGAAACUGUGCUCUAGGAGAUAAAGGAGAGUAAGGGUAGUUACGUCAUGUUUCUACAAGUAGCCAAAAGAAACCACUGGACCCCUGGAUCUACAAUAACCAUGCCAAUCUGUAUUAAUAACGUAUGCCUAUUGAGUACCUACAAUAUGCAAGGCAUUGUGCUAACAUUUUGCAUUUAUUAUCUCAUAUAAUCUAACAGCCCUGCUAGGUAGGUGUUACCAUUCCUUUUCUAAAGGUGUAGAGUCAUAAAAGUCAAACACCUAGCCCAGGGUCAUGGAGGAGAAAAGUGUUGCUGCAGGCUUUCAAACCAGGUAUCUCCAACCCAGAUCCCUCCUCCUACCAACACUGCAUCUUUCGUCUGCGGAAUCUGUGCUCUGGCGUCUCUCCCGUUCCCUGGCAGUGACUGAGCAGUUGCUUCAAGGCUCUCUGAGGCCCCUGGUCAAGGAAACUGGACCUCACGGCAAACAGCUUGGUUCUCUCAUACACGUACUUCAUCCUAGACUUCAGGCAAAGAUAUGCCCACCAGCAUUUCAUAUGAAAAAGAGAAACAAUUCAAACUGUAAAGCUGAACCAGAGCCAAAAUGAGCAAGAAAAGGAGGAAAGACUACACGGAGGAGGAAAAACACCAGAGAAAAGAUCUGCUUUGUGAAGAAAUUGUCUCACAUGGUUCUAAUCCAGAAAUCAGAAUCAUCAGCCAGAUUAACAGGUAAAAUAACCAUACUUAACCCAUAAUUAAUAAAUGUCAUAUUUAAGACUCAGACUGUAUAAGCCAAGUAGUAGUGAGAAUAUUGUGAUACAUCAGUGAUACAUUAGGAAGGAUAGUAUACUUUUUUAUUUUACCUUUGCUAUUUAAUUUGGCAUUACUUAUUUAUGAAAGCUAACCAGAUUAUAUACUUUAUAUCACAAAAAUACUGAUUUGCAUAGCGUCAAUCUAAGUUUUUAAAACGUUAGUUCUAAUUGCAGAGUCAUUGUCAAGAAACAGUGUGAUUUUAGGUGAUUAACUUUCCAAGUAAUGUGUCAGGAUAUAGAGAAAAUUAUCCUUUGCAUUCCUGAUAGAGUGCUAUUUGUUGACUAUAUAUGCAUAUACUUUAUAUCUGUAAAUGUGUGCGCGUGUGUCCUACGAAUGUAUAGGACACGAAAGUAAUCCCAUUCUUCCUGGAGCUUAGGGAGUAACUGACCACGAGCCAAAUAUAUCGUGUUAUGUUCAGUCAUCCAACCAGCACAUUAACAUAGUAUUUUAAACCAAGAUAAUUAGCUUUUCUUUAUAGAAAUUCAUUGAAGUUCACAUAUAAAAUUCUUAGUGUACCCAAAAAUACACAAACUAGUCUAUGUGAAUGCUCUCUUUAUUCUGAGGCAGCAGGGUCCUGGGGCUGGAGACUGGAGACGCUUGGUUCUACCACCUACCGACCUUGAGCACGCUGCUUAAUCCCUGUCUGUCAUGCUGUGAGCUUUAAAUAAAGUAAUGUGCAUUAAAUGCCCAGGAGUGCUUCUGUCGUUUGAUAAGCCCUGGGUAACCAUCUGCAGGAGUCUGGAGGUUCUCUGAUGACUUUGUGGCAUGACAGAGUCAGUUAUUAUUGCGGAAGUUAUCACUAUGGAGAUGGCAAGGCUGAAGCUAACUGGGAGGAGCAAGACUUGAAUCAAGGAAACCAGAAAGAGGCUGCUGCAAUAAUCCAGGCAAGAAAUGGCACUGAACUAUACGGCAACAGGUAGUGGGAAAGAAGAAGCAAGAAACACUAAAGAGAUACUGUAUAAUAUGUACACUGAGAUCACCAUUUGGCUCCGGGAGUUGGAGAGAUACACGUAGGUUCCAGGCCUGGAUGGCAUUCUGUUAAGGCAGGGUAUAGUAAAAGGAUGAGUUCUCAAAUCUCGAGCACCUGCACACGUCAAAGCGAAGUGCCCGACAAGCAGUGCACUAGAACUCAGGAAAGGCUGGACUGCGGCGACGCCACUCGGCAGCCCAGGGAACGGUCAGUGUCAAGGAAGCAGAUAACACACUUGAUUUUACCCUUUUUCAGUCAAAGGUCUGGCCUGCCCCAGACCAGGGUACAUCAUCAGAUGCAGCUCUGAACAUUGAAGGGAAAUCACACUGAAGAUUUCGACCUGAAGUUUGCUGCAGAUGGCGAAUGUCUCAGUUAGCUGUUUCCUAAGUGAUCUGGGUAACCACGAACACGGUCCCUGAUGCCACGUUUCCCAUCACGUGUUGCACAACUGCCAGCAAGAGGCCCUUCCUUUGGCUCUGGGGGACUUAAUUUCCCCUGGGAACUAUUGUGGUUAUUCAACUUGAAGACCUUGUAGGAAGAAUCAGUUAUUUCUCUCUGGGGUCUUACUCAGAGCAAGCAACAUGGAAGUAAAUAGUUACUAAAGAGGAACAAGGAGAAAUAAACAAGCUUUUAGCCAAAUUGAUGAACACACCGAUUCAUGUUAUUAAAAGAGAAAACACCAGUGGCCAGUUUUACAAAAGUUCAAACUAGGAAUUGUACCACCACCCUGCUGUGGCUCCUGUUCAUCGCAAUGUAUGAGAGUUAAUCUCUGUGUAACCUGCACCUCUUUUGCUGUUCCCAGCACAGAGGUGCAUUGCAUGACAUGCUGAUGCCUCCAUGUAGAUGUUGAGUAAAGACUUUCCAGCAGGGAGAACACCAGACUAGAAAACCAGAACUGGGGUUGGCCCAGUUCUGCCAGUGCCUAAUUAAUGCUGUGAUCUUCUUUGUAAAGAAUGGAGGUAUCUUUUUUUUGCCCUAAUAUUGUGGAAUUCUGUGAUCAAAAUAAUGCAUUUAAUGAAACCAUUCUUUGAAAAAUAAUUUUUAAUAGUCUCCCUGUCGUUCACGAGUAACAUGUAUUUUUUUGCCUCACAAGACUUACCAGUCAACAUUAUGUUGGAGAAAUAAGUUUCUUAAUCAUAAACAUGACAGCCAAACAUUUACUAACUGCCUACUGCUUGCUUUCUAUGAGAUGCUCCAUGAGCUUUCUUCAAAUACCAGAGCAACCCCAAGAUGAUGGAAGGAUGUCACUCUUCUUUUUACAGAAGGGAAAACUGAGGCUUAUAAUUGCUAGGUGGCUUGGCAAAGGUCACGUGGCUGGUAAACUAGUUUAGCCUUUAAACCCAGGGCUCUCCAACCUGACUAAGUUGCUUCAACUGGUUGUUUUCAGAGCCAGCAUUGUAUUCUGGAAAGAAGUCCAGCGAGGGGACACCAAGAUCAGACCAUGAUUUGUCAGGGUCUCACCAUCCAAGUUGAACCAGAAAGCAGCUCAGUGACCCCGUGCUCAUCCAGUCUUGUCUUGUGCCCAGCAGUCUUCACGCCAGUGAGACAAGCGACAUGCACCAUCACAUGGGACAGUGUGCACAUGUACAGCUAAAUAUUUAGCAAAACUAGAUUUCAAAUGACACUUUAAAAUGUAUUGCAAAAUGUACAGCAUUUAUUCACAUACAGACAAAAAGGCACAAAUUCUACUAAAUAGUUCAACAAAAAAAUACAGCUGUCCUCAACUAGUUUUAUAAAUACUUUCAAAAACGGGGUAGAAAUAAAUACAGGAUUGGGCCAUGUAAUAUAAAAUAGUCAUCUCUACAUAUACUUUUGUUUAAUUCUGAUUUUUAACUCUUCAUGCACCUUUUUUUUUAACCCAAUUUUAGCUGAAUGGACACCAAGCUAGGCACAUAGUGAAAAAUCCUCUGUACAAGGUUACAAAUGUUAAUGACAAGUUUGUCCAUUUCAAAAUAAUUAAGAUUUGUACACAACACAUAUAACCCUUCAUUUAGAUUUUGUGUUUAUAACCUAACAAAUGACAUUCCAGGCAACUUUACAAAAGUUUAACUAGCCUACAUUUUUGACAUAAUACAUUGAUCAUAAUCAAAGAUAUUUCUUGGUCAGGAUGCACACGGAAAGAUAAAGCUUUAAAAAAAGAAAAGAAAAGAAGAGCAAAUGGUUCCAUACUCAGAGUGCAAGUGGGCAGGUUGGGUUAGUCGCUGCUCAUAACCUCAUACCGAGUUCCCAGCAGGACGCGCAACGGACCUACAGAGCUGUAUUACACUGUCAGAGAAACUGUACCAUUUGCAUUUCAAAGCAGGAAUUAAAGGUGUGGGCUUUUUGUGUUUGUGUGUUUUGUUUUUGUGUGGGGUUUUUUAUUUUUGUUUUGUUUUCUUUUUGGUUCAGCAUAACUUGGAACAUUUGAAAGCUUUUCAA